AGACUGGACUUGGUUUACAUUGACAACAACAUCACCUACACCUGGGUUGGCGGAUUACGGUGUCAAAAACUGCAGAGUUCGGUGUAAAAACAAGACCGUCCAGUACACGGUUGGUGCUAUUGACGGCAGGCCUUGCGAAGAGAACACAGGACGGAAAAAGGUCUUGGCUUGGGUAUGUUCAUCAUUUCUGCCACUGCCUACAACCUGGCUUUUUUCGACAAGUACAGAGGAACCACUAUGUCCCUCAUCUAUAUCGCCUGGAGCGCCGCCGACAUGGUUGCUCCGCUGUUGUUGAAUCGCCUCCGCGUCGCCUAUCCUCUCAAGGGAGCGCUGCUGUUGACCGGUGCCCUGAUGAUGCAGGCAGUACCCCUAUACAUGUUCCUCAGCAAUCCAUCACCAGAAAACAUUGGUCACUUUUCCGCUUGGCGACCAGUUACAACGACCGCGUCGGCAAAUACCGUUAGCAAGGAACAACUUCCCCUUCCAUAUCAGUGUGCACCAAGACAUGAUCGCCACAGUGACGCAUCGAGAACUGGGUCAUACAGGACGACCAAGGAGCCGGUAGAGAAGGUUAAAGCAGAAGAGUCACUUCGCCUCAAUGACAAGCGUCAAACAAGAGAUCACUCUUAUGAAAGCCUGCAAGGGACGAGCAAGUGUUCUACAGGUCCUGAUCCUGGGAAUGCGUCGAGCCCGUUGAAGACCAUGGCAAGCCUGCUCCCCACACCCGCCUUCUACAUCCUUCUUGCCACCACUGUAGUGGCAGACUGUACUCGCAGAUGUCGUUUGGCACGACAACUGUAGACUAGGCUGUCGACAAGGGCAUCAAGCCGGAAGCUGCCGCGCAGCUUCCGGCUUUAUUCAUGACCAACGCGGCCUUCAAUGGACUGGUCAUGAUACCAGUAUCCUUUAGCGGUCCUUCGAUUCUGGGUGAGCACAAGCAGCCGCGUCACUUGUCCCGACACGGCUAAAUGGCUAUAGUGCUGUGGCAGUUCGAAGAAACUUUCAAGCCACCAUUGCGGUUAAGAGCUUCCAAGUUUUUCCCCAGCCCUUGAGGUUUAUGACACAGGGAGCUUUAUUGAGGGCAUCAGGGGAGUUCUCGUGGUUCUCGGUAAACCUGCUCUCCCUCGCGAUAUCAACUAGUGCGUCGAUCUGGAGGAAAUGCAACCGCGAGAACUCGGCUACUAACUCUAUAUACUUCCGUGUUGGAGGACCCAAGAAUAAAUUUCGAACGAAUAGUCAAACCGAUGAAAACAACGGUCACGUGUACGCUACAGUAACAGCCGUAGCAUUCGAGCGCUCACAGCUAAUACUUCUACUGACACCUUUCACACAGAGUAACAUAGUAAACGUCACAUUACUGUAUGACUUCCAUUUGUGCGCGAAUUCUGACAGCACAACUUACCCACAAAACCAUCACUGCGAUAUAACUAAACCCUGCCCAUUAUUCUUGUGUAUCGUAUAAUCAGUGAUUUAAUUAAGCUUCGAUGCCAAGGUAACAAUUGCAAAAACAACGCUCUUUUUAAUCAUGGCGUUGCAUCGGAGUAGUGUGCAGUCAUACUGCUUAUGAGCCUAUACGUGUCCAGGACUGUUUUAUCGAGCGGCUACUCGGAAAGGUACGUUUAUAUACGUGAUCUACAUGUAAACACUUAAAUAUGUAGAUAUACUGCCAACUGCACAGCCAUGCGAAGUUCGACAAGGGCCAUGUGCUAGGCAAUCUUACUUUUUUCGGUGAAUGACACAGGACACGCAAUUUUUCACUUCAAUUGUAUUUCAUGCGCAACGAAAACUCCGGCCACACUUACACAUUUUUCAGAACACAAGGUUUCAUAAUAUAUAAGACAGAAAAAUGAUGGAACUGAAUAAAAAAUGCUGUAAGGCCAAGAUACGAGAGUGCUUCAAGUGUUAUACAAUCCGGCUACUUUUAUCAUGCCGCUCACAACACACCAACAAAGGGUAACUGAGAAAACCCUUUGAAAUGGUUUCUUUUUAGCAUAAUACAAGUCUGUCAACUCAAGUUCUUGCAGCGGUGAACGUUUUGUAGAGCACAUAGUAAAUUCAAAGACAACAGGCAUAGUCAAUUCGGCGCAUUUUGUCCCCGUAAACAACGUUGGGAUAAACAAUGACGUCCUCUUGAAUGCCAGGCUCCUUUUCUUUUGAGUUGACAAAGUUAACCGAGCGCAGAACGUUGUCCGAAACGCAGUUACGCAGACUUUAGACUGCUUCUGCGCUAGUGUCCUAUGUCGAUGGGUAUUCCCCUACGACUCCAUGUCAUCAUGUGGCAUUUUUGUAUAUGUAGGUCAUGGGGCUGAUUGGGUUUGGUUCUUGCUGUUAUAGCGAAACAUGCAGUUUUGAGCCCGCAUGCACGACCCUUCUAAAUGGCCUACUGCGCUAUUUACAGGCUUAUUUCGUGACAGCAAAGGUUCGGACGAAGGGUUCUACCAGAUGCCAGCGUGAUCGCCGCAGUUGCCAUCAUGCUCUGCGUGUUCUUUGUUCUUCACUGCACCCACGCCAAGCGAAGUAAGGUGUACCAGGUCAGCACAAAACAGAAGACUGCAGACCCUCACACGGCGCGCAACCUCGCGUUACCUCUUUAUAACACCACGGCAACUGAACUGACCUUUACCACCAUUAGACCAGACUGAAAGAUGUGGAAGGAUAUUGACUAGUACGUAGUGAGCGGACACAGUCCAAGUGGCAGAAUACCAAAUGCCCAGUGAGAGCUUGUUAUGCGACUAUAUGCUUUGCCACCAAGACACAGAAAAUAAAAAAGAUAUGUAGAGAAGCCGCCUUUGUAUAACUCCAUGAAAAUUGCUGUUGGUAAAGCUCAAGUUCGAAAUUGGUGCACCUGUCGAACUUGGUUAUUCCUAGACAAUAUCCCUGGUUUCGCUUCCCAUGAAAAAGCUAUAGGCUUGGUGGAAUAUUAAGCAUUGGGACCGACGUACAUAAGAACGGUAAACUGACUCGACGCCAAGCUUCAAUGCGUACUGAAGAUCCGAAAGACAUAGAAUUGGCAUACUUUCUGCUUAGCUUUGUUGCAGAAUUUUUCGACAAAUAAUGUAUUGAUUGUUCUCGCAUCGCCUGAAUAAAGCGAGAGUUAUUUAAACGAGCACAAGACCACAACCCCGCACCCCUACCCCCCUUCCCAGAGAAAAAAAAGCACGUACGACUGUGAAAUCAGUAUCUCAAAAAUUGCACGUUAAAAGGGCACCUGUAUCUCUUCAGUGAAAAUAUGUGUGAGCGUGCGGCUCUUUAACAAAUUAGUAUCUCAGCGCUCCUUUGCAGCCGCAGCAGCAAUCACAGUUUAACCAACUUCCUUUUGCGCGACCUGUAGGCUGCAUGCCAUGCAGAGGCGCUUGCUGCUGACCUAGAUAAGCGAGUAGCGGUGCACCUAGCAGAUGAGCCGCUUGCUCCUACACGUGCAGCACGACAGCAUGCAUACAGCGCAUGCAAUCCCCACGUGGAAAAUUCCCGAUUCCUGCCAAGGCCGACACAGCGAGCAUGCUGCGAAAGAAAAGGGGUCAGCAAAACAAAGGUUCAGACUGCGUAUAUACUUGCAAAAGGAUAGAAAGUUAGGCGAGUUGGUACGGUAACAUAUUCUUGGAUUGUAGCGUGAAGUGACACACACACGAACUAGAACCCAGGAAGAGCGCUAACUCUCACCUAAAUCUUUAUUGAAACUAUCAACAUAUAUGUAACUGAUUGCAAAUACCGCAAGCAUACGAACAUGACAAGGUCUAAAGACCAUCGUUUAAACAUAUCAAGAGGUACGGAAGAAAAAAAACAAAAAAGGCACUACUUGAGAUUGACACACGUGCCGAGAAAAUAUUGAAAUUCGCUUUCUAACAGAGAUAUUAGAGAUUUUUAGAUUAGGGGCCCCAAUAUUUUGGGGCCCCAAAGAGUUUUGCGGGUGUUAGCGCUGGGGCACGCAGGAGUGAAGAGUUUUAGAAUAGGGUUUUGCGUUUGCGGAUAGCGUCUUGCGCUGACAGCGCCACUACGGCGUCAAAGAAAAACUAUUAGAAAUAAUUAAAUAAAAUAUACCGUUUUAUGAUAGGAAUAGUAAUUUUGACUUGCGUAUAUUCGCGUUUAAUUACAAUUUAGAGGUUAUUCUUCAAGCAGCAAACAAUUAGUAGCGCUUAGUUUUGAGCAACAAAACCAACUUUACGUGCCUUCACCAGCCAAGCUUAGCCGUGUUAGGCCUACGAGCCAUAAAAUCCACAAUUGAAUUCGGAAUCAGCGGCGUCUAAUGAAUCAAUCUUCAUAACACACGCUAGUUGAGACAAAGCGAUAACCGCAGUCACUUCUAGCUUGCGAACUUCACACGUUACCGCGAAUCAAACCCAGUUUGGUGCUAGGUUAGCGCCGUCGCUUCGAUGGGUGCCGCCAUGUUUGUUGACGCAAAGCUUUUGGGGCCGCUAUUUGGGCUCCCGCUAAAUCGGUGAAAUAGCGUUCCCAACGCAAAACCCAAACGCAGUUUGCGUCUCGCGCAUGCGCAGUAGCUUCGACGCUAUUUCUUUGGGGCCCCAAAACGUUUGGGGCCCCUAUUCUAAAACUCUAUUGACGCGUGGCUAACACAAGUCUCUCCUAAUCUUUUCAUGCGAAAUGCCUCAAUUAUUUCGCGUGUAGUUUGGCAUUUGUGUCUUGAAAGGACUUUUGUGUCUUCAAACAAAGGUUUACAACCGCAAUUGAAACAAUGCGACACUAGAUGUGAAGCAUUAUGGUUGUUAAGCGAUCGUUUGUGUUCUUUUAGUCUGAUAUUGAUACACCUGCCGCUCUGUCCAAUGUAAGCUUUCCGGCACUUGAGUGGAAU